rnacentral:rRNA from 1 species
AGCGGCGGACGGGUUAGUAACGCGUGGGAACGUGCCCUUUAGCUCAGAAUAGCCCCGGGAAACUGGGAGUAAUGCUGGAUAUGCCCUUCGGGGGAAUAAAGGAUCGGCCCGCGUCUGAUUAGGUAGUUGGUGGGGUAAUGGCCUACCAAGCCUACGAUCAGUAGCUGGUUUUAGAGGAUGAUCAGCAACACUGGGACUGAGACACGGCCCAGACUCCUACGGGAGGCAGCAGUGGGGAAUCUUGGACAAUGGGCGCAAGCCUGAUCCAGCCAUGCCGCGUGAGUGAUGAAGGCCUGAGGGUCGUAAAGCUCUUUCGCCAGGGAUGAUAAUGACAGUACCUGGAGAAGAAACCCCGGCUAACUCCGUGCCAGCAGCCGCGGUAAUACGGAGGGGGUUAGCGUUGUUCGGAAUUACUGGGCGUAAAGCGCACGUAGGCGGAUUGGAAAGUUGGGGGUGAAAUCCCGGGGCUCAACCCCGGAACUGCCUCCAAAACUCCCGAUCUAGAGUUCGAGAGAGGUGAGUGGAAUUCCGAGUGUAGAGGUGAAAUUCGUAGAUAUUCGGAGGAACACCAGUGGCGAAGGCGGCUCACUGGCUCGAUACUGACGCUGAGGUGCGAAAGUGUGGGGAGCAAACAGGAUUAGAUACCCUGGUAGUCCACACCGUAAACGAUGAAUGCCAGUCGUCC